rnacentral:rRNA from 1 species
GCCUAGCCCUAAACACAAAUACCCCGAUACUUUGAUAUUCGCCAGGGAACAACGAGCCCCAGCUUAAAACCCAAAGGACUUGGCGGUGCUUUAGACCCCCCUAGAGGAGCCUGUUCUAGAAUCGAUACUCCCCGUUCAACCUCACCCUCUCUUGUUUUCCCAGCCUAUAUACCGCCGUCGUCAGCUUACCCUGUGAAGGCCAAAUAGUAAGCAAAAUUGGCAAAGCCCAAAACGUCAGGUCAAGGUGUAGCGCACGGGAGGGGAAGAAAUGGGCUACAUUUUCUGAAGCAGAAAACACGAAUUUUGCACUGAAAUAAGCAUCUGAAGGAGGAUUUAGCAGUAAGAAGUGAAUAGAGCGCACUUCUGAAAACGGCCCUGAAGCGCGCACACACCGCCCGUCACUCUCCCCAAAAACCCACAAACGAUAAAUAAUACCUCAAUUACCAUAAAGGGGAGGCAAGUCGUAACAUGGUAAGUGUACCGGAAGGUGCACUUGGAAAAACC